rnacentral:rRNA from 1 species
CAGUAGCCGCGGUAAUACGUAGGGUGCGAGCGUUAAUCGGAAUUACUGGGCGUAAAGCGUGCGCAGGCGGUUAUAUAAGACAGAUGUGAAAUCCCCGGGCUCAACCUGGGACCUGCAUUUGUGACUGUAUAGCUAGAGUACGGUAGAGGGGGAUGGAGUUCCGCGUGUAGCAGUGAAAUGCGUAGAUAUGCGGAGGAACACCGAUGGCGAAGGCAAUCCCCUGGACCUGUACUGACGCUCAUGCACGAAAGCGUGGGGAGCAAACAGGAUUAGAUACCCCAGUAGUCCCUGUCUCUUAUAA